rnacentral:rRNA from 1 species
GGACUACUGGGGUAUCUAAUCCCGUUCGCUCCCCUAGCUUUCGCCCCUCAGCGUCAGUGACCAGCCAGGACCCUGCCUCCGCCUUUGGUGUUCCUCCGGAUCUCUACGCAUUUCACCGCUCCACCCGGAAUUCCAGGUCCCUCUCUGGCCCUCAAGUCAGGCCGUCUUUCGCAUCCUCUGCUCGUUAAGCCAGCAGCUGUCACGCAAAACGUACCUCACCGCCUGCGGGCGCUUUACGCCCAGUAACUCCGGAUAACGCUCGCCCCCUACGUAUUACCGCGGCUGCUGGCAC